rnacentral:rRNA from 1 species
CUCGUAGGCGGUUUGUUGCGUCGGGAGUGAAAACCCAGGGCUUAACUCUGGGCUUGCUUCCGAUACGGGCAGACUUGAGGUAUUCAGGGGAGAACGGAAUUCCUGGUGUAGCGGUGAAAUGCGCAGAUAUCAGGAGGAACACCGGUGGCGAAGGCGGUUCUCUGGGAAUUACCUGACGCUGAGGAGCGAAAGUGUGGGGAGCGAACA